GUGGGGAAUAUUGCACAAUGGGGGAAACCCUGAUGCAGCAACGCCGCGUGAGUGAAGAAGGUCUUCGGAUUGUAAAGCUCUGUUGUAGGGGACGAUAAUGACGGUACCCUACAAGGAAGCCACGGCUAACUACGUGCCAGCAGCCGCGGUAAUACGUAGGUGGCGAGCGUUGUCCGGAAUUACUGGGCGUAAAGGAUGCGUAGGCGGAUUAUUAAGUCAGAUGUGAAAUUCCCGAGCUUAACUUGGGAGCUGCAUUUGAAACUGAUAGUCUGGAGUGCAGGAGAGGUAAGUGGAAUUCCUAGUGUAGCGGUGAAAUGCGUAGAGAUUAGGAAGAACACCAGUGGCGAAGGCGACUUACUGGACUGUAACUGACGCUGAGGCAUGAAAGCGUGGGGAGCAAACAGGAUUAGAAACCCUUGUAGUCC
rnacentral:rRNA from 1 species